rnacentral:rRNA from 1 species
GGGUUGCGGACAGUGUCUGGUGGGUAGUUUGACUGGGGCGGUCUCCUCCUAAAGAGUAACGGAGGAGCACGAAGGUUGGCUAAUCCUGGUCGGACAUCAGGAGGUUAGUGCAAUGGCAUAAGCCAGCUUGACUGCGAGCGUGACGGCGCGAGCAGGUGCGAAAGCAGGUCAUAGUGAUCCGGUGGUUCUGAAUGGAAGGGCCAUCGCUCAACGGAUAAAAGGUACUCCGGGGAUAACAGGCUGAUACCGCCCAAGAGUUCAUAUCGACGGCGGUGUUUGGCACCUCGAUGUCGGCUCAUCACAUCCUGGGGCUGAAGUAGGUCCCAAGGGUAUGGCUGUUCGCCAUUUAAAGUGGUACGCGAGCUGGGUUUAGAACGUCGUGAGACAGUUCGGUCCCUAUCUGCCGUGGGCGCUGGAGAACUGAGGGGGGCUGCUCCUAGUACGAGAGGACCGGAGUGGACGCAUCACUGGUGUUCGGGUUGUCAUGCCAAUGGCACUGCCCGGUAGCUAAAUGCGGAAGAGAUAAGUGCUGAAAGCAUCUAAGCACGAAACUUGCCCCGAGAUGAGUUCUCCCUGAGACUUAGAGUCUCCUGAAGGAACGUUGAAGACGACGACGUUGAUAGGCCGGGUGUGUAAGCGCAGCGAUGCGUUGAGCUAACCGGUACUAAUGAACCGUGAGGCUUAACCUUACAACGCCGAA